rnacentral:rRNA from 1 species
AUUGAACGCUGGCGGCAGGCCUAAUACAUGCAAGUCGAGCGGAUGAACGGGGCUCGUGCCUGGAUGCAGCUGCCGACGGGUGGGUGAGGCCUACGAAGCUGCCUGGUCUUUAGGGAUAACGUCCGGUAACGGGCGCUGAUAUCACAUCGGUUCAGAGGGUGAAACUCAGGGAUCUACGGUCCACACGCUAUUUGCUGUGCCUUGGUGAGGUAUCCGGGCCGCAUUAGCUAGUUGGUACGGUAAAGGCCUACCAAGGCAACGAUGCGUAGCCGAUCUGAGAGGAUGAUCAGCCACACUGGAACUGAGACACGGUCCAGACUCCUACGGGAGGCAGCAGUAGGGAAUAUUCCACAAUGGGCGAAAGCCUGACGCAGCCAUGCCGCGUGUGUGAAGAAGGUCUUCGGAUUGUAAAGCACUUUAAGUUGGGAAGAAGAAAAGUAAAUUAAAACCUUCCUGUCUUGACGUUACCAACAGAGUAAGCACCGGCUAACUUCGUG